AGAGGAAGAGAGAAGAAAAGGAAAAUGAAAAAUAGAAGAAGAACGGGGUUUAAAUUUAUCAAAAUCUCUUCUUAUCUUCCCUCGUUCUCUUUUCUCUCUUUCA
rnacentral:ribozyme from 13 species